rnacentral:rRNA from 1 species
CCUACGGGAGGCAGCAGUCGAGAAUCAUUCACAAUGGAGGAAACCCUGAUGGUGCGACGCCGCGUGGGGGAAUGAAGGUCUUCGGAUUGUAAACCCCUGUCAUGUGGGAGCAAAUUAAAAAGAUAGUACCACAAGAGGAAGAGACGGCUAACUCUGUGCCAGCAGCCGCGGUACUACAGAGGUCUCAAGCGUGGUUCGGAAUCACUGGGCGUAAAGCGUGCGUAGGCUGUUUCGUAAGUCGGGUGUGAAAGGCGCGGGCUCAACCCGCGGACUGCAAAUGAUACUGGGAGACUAGAGUAAAGGAGGGGGAACCGGAAUUCGCGGUGUAGCAGUGAAAUGCGUAGAUAUCGAGAGGAACACUCGUGGCGAAGGCGGGUUACUGGACAUUAACUGACGCUGAGGCACGAAGGCCAGGGGAGCGAAAGGGAUUAGAUACCCUAGUAGUC